rnacentral:lncRNA from 1 species
CUUGCUCAGUGACUGUGGUGAGGACUGGAGAUUCCUUCCUCUUUCUCAGAGGCAACCAGCUUUGCCUCAGAGGAGGAAGGACCUGCGCGAGCUGAGAGCGGCUCCCUGCCCGUCUGCCACCAAAGGGAACUCUCUCAGCUGCCCUGCUCUUUCCCAGUCUCCAUCAUAAUUACUGGAUGGAGGCCCACGGAGAAGAGCUUUUGAGUGACAGCCGACUUUCCUAGAGAUUCUAAACUUUCACAGAGCCUUCACUCAGCCUUUAACAAUAUGUUAACAUUUUAGAUAUUUUCAGAUUACUCACUUUUAUUGUGGCUGCCUCUUCCUUCCAUGUUGUACCAAAGGAAAAAAACUCCAGGUAUCCUGUGUCCUCGGAGGGACUUUGGAUUCAAUGUGCCUGAUUGCCUGGGGAACUCAGCAUCCUGAAUAAGAUAAAUAAAAGAUUCCACAUAUAAGUGAGAUUAUACGGAUUUGUGUUUCUCUGUAUGACUUAUUUCACUUAGCAUAACGCCCUCAAGAUUCAUCCAUAUGGUCGCAAAGGGCAUGAGCACAGCGCGUUUAAAAACUACAUAUUUAAAAGGUACAUAGACAAAGGACUGAUCGCAUUCCUCUCCACGGUUUUUCCUUUUUUUUUCUAAUGCUGAUCUUCCUAUGCCUGUUUUUAAAGACUUGG